UAAUACGGAGGGUCUAAGCGUUAUCCGGAAUCAUUGGGUUUAAAGGGUCCGUAGGCGGGCUAAUAAGUCAGAGGUGAAAUCCCACAGCUUAACUGUGGAACUGCCUUUGAUACUGUUAGUCUUGAGUCAUAAUGAGGUAGAUGGAAUGUGUAGUGUAGCGGUGAAAUGCAUAGAUAUUACACAGAACACCGAUUGCGAAGGCAGUCUACUAAUUAUGUACUGACGCUGAGGGACGAAAGCGUGGGGAGCGAACAGGAUUAGAUACCCUGGUAGUCCACGCCGUAAACGAUGGAUACUAGCUGUUAGUUAUGCCGUAGGGUAUAAUUAGUGGCCAAGCAAAAGUGAUAAGUAUCCCACCUGGGGAGUACGUUCGCAAGAAUG
rnacentral:rRNA from 1 species